rnacentral:lncRNA from 1 species
AGAGCCAAGUCCAGGUUGGUUUCCCCCAGUCAUUCAUGUCCACCUGUGACAAUGCAGAAGCUACCUUACUUUCAACUUGAACGAGUCACUUUUGCAGUUAAGAAGUCUGACCAGUCAACAAAGCCAGUCAGAAAAGCCAAGAGAUGGCAGUGGUUUAUACGUGGGACGCCUACCACAGCAUGGCUGCCAAGCAGUGCCAUGUCCGCACCCGGGAUCCGAACCAGCGAACCCCGGGCCGCCGAGAAGCGGAACUGCCAUGUCCGCACCCGGGAUCCGAACCAGCGAACCCCGGGCCGCCGAGAGGCGGAACGUGCGAACUUAACCGCUGCGCCACCGGGCCGGCCCCAGACUAAAACAAUUUUUUAAUGUGACAUACAAAAUGCUGAUGAGGAAGAGGAGCAACUAGAACUCUUAUGCAUUGCCAUUGGAAACGCAAAAUAG